rnacentral:rRNA from 1 species
GACGAACGCUGGCGGCGUGCUUAACACAUGCAAGUCGAACGAAAAGAGGGAAAGAGCUUGCUCUUUCCGGAAUUGAGUGGCAAACGGGUGAGUAACACGUAAACAACCUGCCUUCAGGAUGGGGACAACAGACGGAAACGACUGCUAAUACCGAAUAAGUUCCAAGAGCCGCAUGGCCCAUGGAAGAAAAGGUGGCCUCUACCUGUAAGCUAUCGCCUGAAGAGGGGUUUGCGUCUGAUUAGCUGGUUGGAGGGGUAACGGGCCCACCAAGGCGACGAUCAGUAGCCGGUCUGAGAGGAUGAACGGCCACACUGGAACUGAGACACGGUCCAGACUCCUACGGGAGGCAGCAGUGGGGAAUCUUCCGCAAUGGGCGAAAGCCUGACGGAGCAACGCCGCGUGAGUGAUGACGGCCUCGG